UGCCGCAAAGCGCCACAAAGUGGCGUAAAAUGCCGAAAAUUGGCGAAUGCGCUUUGUAGCGGCUUUUUAUCGUGUAUGUAUUAAUAGUUAUGGGUAAAUGGGCCGCGGGCCGGUCCAAACUUAUUAAAGGGCCAGUUCUGGCCUGUGGGCCGCCAGUUGAAUAGCCCUGUACUAGAUGGGUUGAACAAAUGCUA